rnacentral:rRNA from 1 species
CAGCAGCCACGGGAAUACGAAGGGGGCUAGCGUUGCUCGGAAUCACUGGGCGUAAAGGGUGCGUAGGCGGGUCUUUAAGUCAGGGGUGAAAUCCUGGAGCUCAACUCCAGAACUGCCUUUGAUACUGAAGAUCUUGAGUUCGGGAGAGGUGAGUGGAACUGCGAGUGUAGAGGUGAAAUUCGUAGAUAUUCGCAAGAACACCAGUGGCGAAGGCGGCUCACUGGCCCGAUACUGACGCUGAGGCACGAAAGCGUGGGGAGCAAACAGGAUUAGAUACCCCAGUAGUCCCUGUCUCUUAUAC